CCAGUGAAUCUUGGAGCUGUGUGUGUGGGUGUUUCCCUGAAGGAGUUUCCAGUGAAAUAGAUACAGCUGAGCUGACUGCAGCACUUCUUUCUAGAGCAGAGCUGUCAAGAGGAUGAAUGAAUACUAUGGUGCUGCUUGGUGCCCACUUCAGAGAGGCAAUCCUGUUCCUCUUAGUCAGUAGCAUGACGUUUUCUUCUCUGAACUGAACUGGAUUUGUUGCCUCCCAGAGUCUUGACAGCACUUUGGGUGCUGAUGAUCUGAUCAGAGUGUCUUCUCAUUCCCUCCUCCUUCCCCAUCUGUUUGUAUCCACCUCUUGUGUUACAGAAAUAAACCGUUUGGGGUGAGAA